rnacentral:tRNA from 3 species
GCAGAAGUGGUGGAAUGGCAGACACGCUAUCUUGAGGGGGUAGUGGGCGUAUGCUCGUGUGGGUUCAAGUCCCAUCUUCUGCACCA